GCGGGCGUAGUUCAGUGGUAGAACGUCAGCUUCCCAAGCUGAAUGUCGCCGGUUCGACUCCGGUCGCCCGCU
rnacentral:tRNA from 1 species